UACAGAGGUCUCAAGCGUUGUUCGGAUUCAUUGGGCGUAAAGGGUGCGUAGGCGGCGCGACAAGUCAGGCGUGAAAGCCCCGGGCUCAACCCGGGAAUUGCGCUUGAUACUGUCGUGCUUGAGGCCGGGAGAGGAUGGCGGAAUUCCCAGUGUAGAGGUGAAAUGCGUAGAUAUACGGAGGAACACCAGCGGCGAAGGCGGGUAGCUGGGCCAACACUGACGCUGAUGCGCGAAAGCCAGGGUAGCAAACGGG
rnacentral:rRNA from 1 species